CGGUARAARGGAGYUGYCCYGGWUCAGCGGCGGACGGKGAGUAWGCYAGGAWYGCYGGUAGUGGGGGACAACGUUUCGAAAGGAACGCUAWACCGCAUACGUCCUACGGGAGAAAGCAGGGGACCUUCGGGCCUUGCGCUAUCAGAUGAGCCUAGGUCGGAUUAGCUAGUUGGUGAGGUAAUGGCUCACCAAGGCGACGAUCCGUAACUGGUCUGAGAGGAUGAUCAGUCACACUGGAACUGAGACACGGUCCAGACUCCUACGGGAGGCAGCAGUGGGGAAUAUUGGACAAUGGGCGAAAGCCUGAUCCAGCCAUGCCGCGUGUGUGAAGAAGGUCUUCGGAUUGUAAAGCACMUUAAGUUGGGAGGAAGGGCAGUAAAUUAAUACUUUGCUGUUUUGACGUUACCGACAGAAUAAGCACCGGCUAACUCUGUGCCAGCAGCCGCGGUAAUA
rnacentral:rRNA from 1 species